UCACAUCGGUAUUUACUAACGGUCGUCGGACUCGUUCCUUCAGUCUGCUGCUCCAGUAUGCUGUGCUUGGAGAGGCGUUCCUGCUGCAGGUAGCUAAGCUACAUUAGCAAGAAGGAGGAGCACUACUGGAACAUCGCAAAAUCAGGAAACCUCCACUCAGGCAGACGUGGAAACCCACCUCUCACUGCCAAGCACUCCCAGGCUGAUCAUGCUUGUGAAGAAGACUUCAGUCUACAACUCUAUACUCCAUUUCUCCAGCUAUCUGUUGUGAUCAGGACGUUCUCUAGUUUUGUGGAAAAUACAUUACCAGUUGUAACUGUUCAUAAGCUGUGUGUGUGUAUAUGUGUGUGUGUGUGUGUGUGUGUGUGUGUGUGUGUGUGAGAGAGAGAGAGAGUCUGUGUUUGUGUUUGAGUGGACCUUUUUGAAAAAGGGAAACGGCAGUUUAAAAACUGCAAUCAUUACAACGUGUAAUUGUAAUUAAAGAUGUGUUUGUUUUCAGUGAGU